ACGUAGGGAGCAAGCGUUGUCCGGAAUUACUGGGCGUAAAGGGUGCGUAGGCGGCGCAGUGAGUCAGAAGUGAAAUAUCGGGGCUUAACCCCGGGGCUGCUUCUGAUACUGCUGUGCUUGAGUGCAGGAGAGGUAAGCGGAAUUCCUAGUGUAGCGGUGAAAUGCGUAGAUAUUAGGAGGAACACCAGUGGCGAAGGCGGCUUACUGGACUGUAACUGACGCUGAAGCACGAAAGCGUGGGUAGCAAACAG
rnacentral:rRNA from 1 species